rnacentral:rRNA from 1 species
CCUACGGGGAGCAGCAGUGGGGAAUAUUGGACAAUGGGCGAAAGCCUGAUCCAGCCAUGCCGCGUAUGUGAAGAAGGCCUUCGGGUUGUAAAGCACUUUCAGUGGGGAAGAAAGCCUUGGGGCUAAUACCCUCGAGGAAGGACAUCACCCACAGAAGAAGCACCGGCUAACUCCGUGCCAGCAGCCGCGGUAAUACGGAGGGUGCGAGCGUUAAUCGGAAUUACUGGGCGUAAAGCGCGCGUAGGCGGUCUGAUAAGCCGGUUGUGAAAGCCCCGGGCUCAACCUGGGAACGGCAUCCGGAACUGUCAGGCUAGAGUGCAGGAGAGGAAGGUAGAAUUCCCGGUGUAGCGGUGAAAUGCGUAGAGAUCGGGAGGAAUACCAGUGGCGAAGGCGGCCUUCUGGACUGACACUGACGCUGAGGUGCGAAAGCGUGGGUAGCAAACAGGAUUAGAACCCCGGUAGUC